rnacentral:rRNA from 1 species
GCAUCCAUGUUUUGUAAUUGGAAUGGACAGAUGUUAACCUUCUCUGUGAGUAUCAAUUGGAGGGCAAGUCUGGUGCCAGCAGCCGCGGUAAUUCCAGCUCCAAUAGCGUAUAUUAAAGUUGUUGCGGUUAAAAAGCUCGUAGUUGGAUUUCUGCUCAGGACGACCGGUCCGCCCUCUGGGUGAGUAUCUGGCUUGGCCUUGGCAUCUUCUUGGUGAACGUUGCUGCACUUGACUGUGUGGUGCGGUAUCCAGGACUUUUACUUUGAGGAAAUUAGAGUGUUUCAAGCAGGCACACGCCUUGAAUACAUUAGCAUGGAAUAAUAAGAUAGGACCUUGGUUUUAUUUUGUUGGUUUCUAGAGCUGAGGUAAUGAUUAAUAGGGAUAGUUGGGGGCAUUCGUAUUUAACUGUCAGAGGUGAAAUUCUUGGAUCUGUUAAAGACGGACUACUGCGAAAGCAUUUGCCAAGGAUGUUUUCAUUGAUCAAGAACGAAAGUUAGGGG